rnacentral:rRNA from 1 species
AACGAACGCUGGCGGCAGGCCUAACACAUGCAAGUCGAGCGAGGACUUCGGUCCUAGCGGCGGACGGGUGAGUAACGCGUGGGAACGUGCCCUUUGCUACGGAAUAGCCCCGGGAAACUGGGAGUAAUACCGUAUGUGCCCGAGAGGGGAAAGAUUUAUCGGCAAAGGAUCGGCCCGCGUUGGGUUAGGCAGUUGGUGGGGUAAUGGCCUACCAAGCCGACGAUCCGUAGCUGGUUUGAGAGGAUGAUCAGCCACACUGGGACUGAGACACGGCCCAGACUCCUACGGGAGGCAGCAGUGGGGAAUCUUAGACAAUGGGGGAAACCCUGAUCUAGCCAUGCCGCGUGAGCGAUGAAGGCCUUAGGGUUGUAAAGCUCUUUCAGUGGGGAAGAUAAUGACGGUACCCACAGAAGAAGCCCCGGCUAACUCCGUGCCAGCCGCCGCCGUAA